AGAUGGUAUUGGGUCAUCGUAAUGGUAUUUAUCAUGUAGAUAUCUUUCCAUUAGACAUGACUUUCCGCUAUAAUUUUUCCCCAGUAAUACAACCUUCGCAUCUCUGUUUGCCAUGCGAAUGUCGACAAAUGCCAGUAAUUUAUAUAGUAAAUAGUUUCAAACGCUACAACAUAAAGCAAACUCAAAAUAAUUUAAUACUUUAUUAGCUGAAUAGCUGUACUGUAGGCGACUGUACUGUGCCAACUGUAGAUAUAAAGUCCUGAUGCUCCACGCACAAUGCUACCAAUAUAAAAAAUACACGAUUCCUCCACAAAGCAGCGAUCAUUUCAUGUCAAAACGUUUCCAAGAAAAGUAGAAAAAGCAAACAAUACAAAACAGGAACUAUAAGACUGGUACAUUUACCGUAGGGAUGGACACUUAUUCCUUGAAUUUCGUAAUCCGUCGAAUUUCCGGU